AUGCCCCAGCCGCAGCCCGGCGUCGCCCCGCCGCAGUGGGGCGCCAUCCCACCGCCCAUGCCGCCGCACCAGCUCUGCGCGCCGGCGCCCCCGCUCCUGCCCCCGCAGAUGUGGGGCCAGCCGCUGCCGCCCCAGCAGGCCGCGUACUACGGCCGGCCGGCUGCCCCGACGCAGGCGCCCGCUGGGCCCAACGAGGUCAGGACACUCUGGAUAGGGGACCUGCAGUACUGGAUGGACGAGAACUACGUCUACAAUUGCUUCGCGAGCACCGGCGAGGUGCAAUCUGUGAAGCUGAUUCGUGACAAGCAGACUGGACAACUUCAAGGUUAUGGCUUCAUUGAAUUCACAAGCCAUGCUGGCGCUGAAAGAGUUCUUCAGACAUUCAACGGGGCAAUGAUGCCAAAUGUUGAGAUGGCAUACAGAUUGAACUGGGCGACUGCUGGUGAAAAACGUGAUGAUGGCGCCGAUUACACAAUAUUUGUUGGUGAUUUGGCUGCUGAUGUCACAGACUACGUAUUGCAAGAGACAUUUAGGGUACAGUACCCCUCGGUUAAGGGUGCAAAAGUUGUAAUGGAUAAACUGACAAUGCGCCCAAAGGGCUAUGGCUUUGUGAAAUUUGGUGAUCCUACAGAGCAAACUCGUGCAAUGACUGAAAUGAAUGGGAUGCUCUGUUCUUCGAGGCCCAUGCGUAUUGGACCAGCUGCAAAUAAGCAAAAAGCAACUGGAGUUCAAGAGAAAGUACCAAGUUCUCAGGGGGUUCAGACUGACAAUGAUCCUAGCAAUUCCACUAUAUUUGUUGGUGGCCUUGACCCCAACGCCACUGAGGAUGUGUUAAAACAACUUUUCACUCCAUAUGGAGAAGUCGUCCAUGUUAAGAUACCUGUUGGCAAAAGAUGUGGUUUUGUUCAAUAUGCUAGCAGAUCCUCUGCAGAGUAA
rnacentral:rRNA from 1 species